GACGAACGCUGGCGGCGCGCCUAACACAUGCAAGUCGAACGGAGUUGUUUGAAAGCUUGCUUUUGGAUAACUGAGUGGCGGACGGGUGAGUAACGCGUGGGUAACCUGCCUUAUACAGGGGGAUAACAGUUAGAAAUGGCUGGCUAAUACCGCAUAAGCGCACAGGACCGCAUGGUCUGGUGUGAAAAACUCCGGUGGUAUAAGAUGGACCCGCGUCUGAUUAGCUAGUUGGUAAGGUAACGGCUUACCAAGGCGACGAUCAGUAGCCGACCUGAGAGGGUGACCGGCCACAUUGGGACUGAGACACGGCCCAG
rnacentral:rRNA from 1 species